rnacentral:rRNA from 1 species
UACGGGGGGAGCAAGCGUUGUUCGGAUUUACUGGGCGUAAAGGGCGCGUAGGCGGCAUGGCAAGUCACUUGUGAAAUCUCCGGGCUUAACUCGGAACGGCCAAGUGAAACUGCCACGCUAGAGUGCAGAAGGGGCAGUCGGAAUUCUUGGUGUAGCGGUGAAAUGCGUAGAUAUCAAGAGGAACACCUGAGGUGAAGACGGGUUGCUGGGCUGACACUGACGCUGAGGCGCGAAAGCCAGGGGAGCAAACGGG